rnacentral:rRNA from 1 species
AGUGAACGCUGGCGGUAGGCCUAACACAUGCAAGUCGAACGGCAGCACAGUAAGAGCUUGCUCUUACGGGUGGCGAGUGGCGGACGGGUGAGGAAUACAUCGGAAUCUACUUUUUCGUGGGGGCUAACGUAGGGAAACUUACGCUAAUACCGCAUACGACCUACGGGUGAAAGCAGGGGAUCUUCGGACCUUGCGCGAUUGAAUGAGCCCAUGUCGGAUUAGCUAGUUGGCGGGGUAAAGGCCCACCAAGGCGACGAUCCGUAGCUGGUCUGAGAGGAUGAUUCGCCACACUGGAAUUGAGGCAAGGACCAGACUCCUGCAGGAGGCAGCAGUGGGGAAUAUUGGACGAUGGAGGGAUGCCUGAUCCAGCAAAACCGACUGGGGCAAGAAGGCCUUCGGGUUGUAAAGCCAUUUUGUUGGGAAAGAAAAACAGCAGGUUAAUACCCCGCUGUUCUGACGGUACCCAAAGAAUAAGCACCGGCUAACUUCGUG